GUUGGUGCAGUGAUUAUAUAACAUUCCUCGUGCUGAUGGGAAAUCCCUAUGAAGACACCUGUACAUCCAUAGAAUCUGAGCUCCA
rfam:Hordeum vulgare subsp. vulgare, WGS project CAJW01000000 data, contig: morex_contig_159665